UACUACUAUUAAAAGAGCAAACAUGAAUUCCCCUAAAACCACCCAAGCAAAUGUACACAGGAUAAAUAGAGCCCUUAGAUCUAAUCCAAUUACUCAAAUCUAAGAGUCCAUAGUAAUUUCGUGGUCUGCCAGCUAAUCGAAUGGUUCAGAUUCGAUGUUCUGCCCGGUCAGAUCGACCCGGAUGGAGCACAUCAACAAACCGCUAAUCCCGCCCGACAAUCCUUCGUCCACGCCCCACGCACGCCGCAUCUUCCUCGCUAACUCCUCCGGUUAUGCGGGCGAGAAUGAGGCCCUCAGAUCCCGUCACCGCCCCCACGCCAUUGGCACAGACCCCCCAUCCCGUCGCUAGGUGGAGGAUGCCGCGGAGGCAGCCGUGCCAACGACGAGCGUAGGACGCGGGUGGACUUCCCUCGCCCUGCUCUGCCGCCCCUGCAGCCCUCAUCAUCCUCGCGCUUCUCCCGAACCGGCGUCUCCCGUCCGCCUCGGCGCCUUCCGUAGCAGGCCAGGGCCGGAGCCGAGAAUGAAGCGUCCGCACGCGUCCAUCUCUCCCUUCGAGCCCCUUCGAUGCGCCCCCGACUGUCGCCGCCAUCUUCACUGGAAGCUCUACGAUGGUCAAGGUAAUCCCCAAACAAACCAUUGCCUGCUCACGAUUUCAGAAGAGAAGCGGGGGAGUGUAUUCAUGCGAUGAGUAAGAAGAUAAAUUUGUGUGGUUCAGACACCGGAUCAAUUGUUAGCUGCCCCGGUGGUACUGUUAGUGUGUUACUACAUCUGAAAUUACAUCUCAGCUAGCAGCUUCCUUCACAGUCCUGCGGACCUCACCGAGCUGCAAUUUCUGAGUAGUUUCCAUACACUAACUAUCGGAGUUAGAGAUGCCUUCAAGCACAAACUCGGCGACCCCCAGCAAGGCGACCGAGCACGGGCAGCCUCUGGCCAGCGAGCAGGAGAAGCUCACCGCGGAGGCUAAGUUCAGAACUACAUGUAGGUAGGUAGAUGGAUGAGAAUGAGAUACCUUUUUCCUUUUUCUUCAGUUUAUCUAGAUCGGCCGAUCGCCAAGGCAUGUAGCUGUUUGUGAUUAGUAUUGGAAGUGCAAGCAUUCUCACAUAGAUAAAAGAAAAUGGUUGUAAUCCGCGCAGAGAGUGAUUCUCUCUAAUUCAUGGGAGCGCUUAAUCGCCGUGAAGAUUCAGCGGUUAGCUCUCACUAAUUCAGGUCGAGCACCUGCACCACGACGGCGGCAGUCACUAUACGGAUAUCAGGCCAGUUGCAUAUUUCUUGCCUAAUAUUUUUAUUUAUUGUUGCAGACUGGGGAAGGAUGCCGAAGAUGUAGAGGUUGUUGCCCCAGUGACGCUGGAGCCCAUUCAAAGGAACAGAAGAUGCGCGUUUUUCCUCCUGACCAUUUGAGUGGUGUUCUGUGCAAUUUAUGCUUGUUUUGAAAAUUUGGUUAUAGACGUCGAAUUUAUCUCCAAUCAUCUGUUGUACUAUAUCUUCUACAAUCUUUCAUAUUUUAGCAUGAAUUUUUUAAAAUUUGUGGUAGGAAGCUUGUAUGCCAUUCAUGGAUUGGACAACAUACAUGUGCUAUUUUCUUUUGAUUAUCCCCUUCCAGACUGUUCGGGGUUUCUAGAUCAGAAUAGUUUGUCCAAUAUACCUCUUUGGAUCUCAGAGAAUUCAGAAUAAGUUCUUACAACAAUCCUUACU
rnacentral:lncRNA from 1 species